UACGUAGGGUCCGAGCGUUAAUCGGAAUUACUGGGCGUAAAGCGUGCGCAGGCGGUUUUGUAAGCCAGAUGUGAAAGCCCCGGGCUUAACCUGGGAAUGGCAUUUGGGACUGCAAGGCUGGAGUACGGCAGAGGGAGGUGGAAUUCCAGGUGUAGCAGUGAAAUGCGUAGAGAUCUGGAGGAACACCGAUGGCGAAGGCAGCCUCCUGGGCCAGUACUGACGCUCAUGCACGAAAGCGUGGGGAGCAAACAGG
rnacentral:rRNA from 1 species